GUUUCUCUACCUGUGUGUGUGUGUGACAGGAAGGGCUGCGCUCUUUUAACCCUGCAGUGUGUGUGAUCUCGCUCACAGAUGGGAACAUGAGCAAGUGACAUCGCGACGCUCAGCGCUGGGACGUCUCCGCUCCACACAUUUCCAAAUGCAUGCUGGGACGAAAACGCCAUCAUGCAGACUCUGGCUAUUAUGAUGAUGAUGAUGAUGAUGAUGAUGAUGCCAUCAUAUUCAGCUCUUGCAGAUCAAAGUUUAAAGUGUCAAAAUGAUUUCCACAACACCUUCACAUGUGUUUGGGACACCUCAGAACUGGACGUAAUCCCUCCGGUCCGACCCGAGACCAAAUGCUGGAUUAAUGUAUCAGUUGAGAAGAUGUAAGGAAGAAUGUGACU
rnacentral:lncRNA from 1 species